rnacentral:rRNA from 1 species
AUUGAACGCUGGCGGCAGGCCUAACACAUGCAAGUCGAGCGGAUGACGGGAGCUUGCUCCUUGAUUCAGCGGCGGACGGGUGAGUAAUGCCUAGGAAUCUGCCUGGUAGUGGGGGACAACAUUUCGAAAGGAACGCUAAUACCGCAUACGUCCCACGGGAGAAAGCAGGGGACCUUCGGGCCUUGCGCUAUCAGAUGAGCCUAGGUCGGAUUAGCUAGUUGGUGGGGUAAUGGCUCACCAAGGCGACGAUCCGUAACUGGUCUGAGAGGAUGAUCAGUCACACUGGAACUGAGACACGGUCCAGACUCCUACGGGAGGCAGCAGUGGGGAAUAUUGGACAAUGGGCGAAAGCCUGAUCCAGCCAUGCCGCGUGUGUGAAGAAGGUCUUCGGAUUGUAAAGCACUUUAAGUUGGGAGGAAGGGCAGUAAGUUAAUACCUUGCUGUUUUGACGUUACCGACAGAAUAAGCACCGGCUAACUCUGUGCCAGCCGCCGCCGUAA